rnacentral:misc_RNA from 1 species
AAAAAAAAAAAAGAAAAGAAAAAAUGGAAGAUUUUGCCCCAACUAGGCUUUCUACCUCUCUCCAUUCUCCUGUAUUCUUCAUUUAGGCUGUCUGUUUUGUCUUUUCCUUUUUUCCAAUAUCCGCUCUCUUUUGGUCCUCUUUUAUAACCGAUUCAACAAUCAUCACUUUCUCUCUUCUCUCCUUUACUCUUCCUUUAUGUUGUCCUCUGUUUUAUUUCCCUUUUAUUCACCUAUAUGUUGACUCUUACUCACAAGAAGAUAGGCGCAAGUGUUCUUUUUGUUUCAAAUAUGGAUUCUAAUAUUUUUGUCUUCCUCUAUUUUUCGUUUUUCAGUAUGGAAUAUAGAUUCUUGUAAUUCUAGCAGUGAUAUUUCCAUAAGACACUACAUGGAACACAAGCUUGUUAAAUUCAAAAGAAGGGAAUUUUAACUGUACAUUAGUUGUUCUAUUAGUGUGUAAUAUUAAUUUUGAAUUUUCUUUCAAAUUUUAUUUCUUUUUUACCACCUCUAGGUGUGGCAGUGCUGAGACUUCUGUAUCCCAUUGUGCCUUAUGCCUUUAAUAACUAUGAUAAAUGUCUGCCUGUUUCUUUCUGAUCUGUUUUUAGCUAAACUCAAAUGAUUGUUCCAUUCAUUCACCCCUUCUUUUGGGCAGCCCUCCAGCCCUUCCUCAUAUAAAUAUAACAAGAGGAUAUCAGCCAACCCAAUUGUGCCCUUUUCAUUGUUUCAACCUUGAUAGGCUGCAGAAGAGUACUGUUGGAUCACGGGCCAAUAGUAAAUGCUAGGAUGUGCAUGCACACUCUUUAGUCGCAAUAUUUCCGCUCAUGAUGUUCGUCAACAGAGUUGUUGAGUUUUGACUUCUAACAUGUUUAUUGGAACUUGGGAAGUUAGGUCUGCUGGAGAUUCAGGGAACA